rnacentral:tRNA from 1 species
UCCUCGUUAGCUCAGUUGGCAGAGCACGCGGCUGUUAACCGCGUUGUCGCUGGUUCGAGCCCAGCACGGGGAGCCA